CCCGGGAAUAGCUCAGUAGGUUGAGCAUGAGACUCUUAAUCUUAGGUUCAUGGGUGCGAGCCCCAGUUGGGA